rnacentral:rRNA from 1 species
UACGUAGGGGGCUAGCGUUGUCCGGAAUCACUGGGCGUAAAGCGUCUGUAGGUGGUCAAAUAAGUCAACUGUUAAAUCUUGAGGCUCAACCUCAAAAUCGCAGUCGAAACUAUUAGACUAGAGUAUAGUAGGGGUAAAGGGAAUUUCCAGUGGAGCGGUGAAAUGCGUAGAGAUUGGAAAGAACACCGAUGGCGAAGGCACUUUACUGGGCUAUUACUAACACUCAGAGACGAAAGCUAGGGUAGCAAAUGGG